ACAGUGAAUACAGGGUCAAACGCAAUGCGGCAGGCAGGGUAUCCCAGUGGUUAGAGUGUAGAGGUGGCAGGUAGCCUAGUGGUUAGAGUGUAGAGGUGGCAGGUAGCCUAGUGGUUAGAGUGUAGAGGUGGCAGGUAGCCUAGUGGUUAGAGUGUAGAGGUGGCAGGUAGCCUAGUGGUUAGAGUGUAGAGGCGGCAGGGUAGCCUAGUGGUUAGAGUGUAGAGGCGGCAGGGUAGCCUAGUGGUUAGAGUGUAGAGGUGGCAGGUAGCCUAGUGGUUAGAGUGUAGAGGUGGCAGGUAGCCUAGUGGUUAGAGUGUAGAGGUGGCAGGUAGCCUAGUGGUUAGAGUGUAGAGGCGGCAGGGUAGCCUAGUGGUUAGAGUGUAGAGGCGGCAGGGUAGCCUAGUGGUUAGAGUGUAGAGGUGACAGGUAGUGGUUAGAGUGUAGAGGCGGCAGGGUAGCCUAGUGGUUAGAGUGUAGAGGCGGCAGGGUAGCCUAGUGGUUAGAGUGUAGAUGCGGCAGGGUAGCCUAGUGGUUAGAGUGUAGAUGCGGCAGGGUAGCCUAGUGGUUAGAGUGUAGAGGCGGCAGGGUAGCCUAGUGGUUAGAGUGUAGAGGCGGCAGGGUAGCCUAGUGGUUAGAGUGUAGAGGCGGCAGGGUAGCCUAGUGGUUAGAGUGUAGAGGCGGCAGGGUAGCCUAGUGGUUAGAGUGGAGGGGCGGCAGGGUAGCCUAGUGGUUAGAGUG